ACGCUAGCUACAGGCUUAACACAUGCAAGUCGAGGGGCAUCAGGAAGAAAGCUUGCUUUCUUUGCUGGCGACCGGCGCACGGGUGAGUAACACGUAUCCAACCUGCCCUUUACUCGGGGAUAGCCUUUCGAAAGAAAGAUUAAUACCCGAUAGUAUAAUGAUUCCGCAUGGUUUCAUUAUUAAAGGAUUCCGGUAAAGGAUGGGGAUGCGUUCCAUUAGGUUGUUGGUGAGGUAACGGCCCACCAAGCCUUCGAUGGAUAGGGGUUCUGAGAGGAAGGUCCCCCACAUUGGAACUGAGACACGGUCCAAACUCCUACGGGAGGCAGCAGCGAGGAGUAUUGGUCAAUGGGCGCUAGCCUGAACCAGCCAAGUAGCGUGAAGGAUGAAGGCUCUAUGGGUCGUAAACUUCUUUUAUAUAAGAAUAAAGUGCAGUAUGUAUACUGUUUUGUAUGUAUUAUAUGAAUAAGGAUCGGCUAACUCCGUGCCAGCAGCCGCGGUAAUACGGAGGAUCCGAGCGUUAUCCGGAUUUAUUGGGUUUAAAGGGAGCGUAGGUGGACUGGUAAGUCAGUUGUGAAAGUUUGCGGCUCAACCGUAAAAUUGCAGUUGAUACUGUCAGUCUUGAGUACAGUAGAGGUGGGCGGAAUUCGUGGUGUAGCGGUGAAAUGCUUAGAUAUCACGAAGAACUCCGAUUGCGAAGGCAGCUCACUGGACUGCAACUGACACUGAUGCUCGAAAGUGUGGGUAUCAAACAGGAUUAGAUACCCUGGUAGUCCACACAGUAAACGAUGAAUACUCGCUGUUUGCGAUAUACAGUAAGCGGCCAAGCGAAAGCAUUAAGUAUUCCACCUGGGGAGUACGCCGGCAACGGUGAAACUCAAAGGAAUUGACGGGGGCCCGCACAAGCGGAGGAACAUGUGGUUUAAUUCGAUGAUACGCGAGGAACCUUACCCGGGCUUAAAUUGCAGUGGAAUGAUGUGGAAACAUGUCAGUGAGCAAUCACCGCUGUGAAGGUGCUGCAUGGUUGUCGUCAGCUCGUGCCGUGAGGUGUCGGCUUAAGUGCCAUAACGAGCGCAACCCUUAUCUUUAGUUACUAACAGGUUAUGCUGAGGACUCUAGAGAGACUGCCGUCGUAAGAUGUGAGGAAGGUGGGGAUGACGUCAAAUCAGCACGGCCCUUACGUCCGGGGCUACACACGUGUUACAAUGGGGGGUACAGAAGGCAGCUAGCGGGUGACCGUAUGCUAAUCCCAAAAGCCUCUCUCAGUUCGGAUCGAAGUCUGCAACCCGACUUCGUGAAGCUGGAUUCGCUAGUAAUCGCGCAUCAGCCACGGCGCGGUGAAUACGUUCCCGGGCCUUGUACACACCGCCCGUCAAGCCAUGGGAGCCGGGGGUACCUGAAGUACGUAACCGCAAGGAUCGUCCUAGGGUAAAACUGGUGACUGGGGC
rnacentral:rRNA from 1 species